GAUGAACGCUGGCGGCGUGCCUAAUACAUGCAAGUCGGGCGAACAGACGAGGAGCUUGCUCCUCUGACGUUAGCGGCGGACGGGUGAGUAACACGUGGAUAACCUACCUAUAAGACUGGGAUAACUUCGGGAAACCGGAGCUAAUACCGGAUAAUAUAUUGAACCGCAUGGUUCAAUAGUGAAAGACGGUUUUGCUGUCACUUAUAGAUGGAUCCGCGCCGCAUUCGCUAGUUGGUAAGGUAACGGCUUACCAAGGCGACGAUGCGUAGCCGCCCUGAGAGGGUGAUCGGCCACCAUGGAACUGAGACUCGGGCCAGACUCCUACGGGAGGCAGCAUUAGGGAAUCUUCCGCAAUGGGCGAAAGCCUGACGGAGCAACGCCGCGUGAGUGAUGAAGGUCUUCGGAUCGUAAAACUCUGUUAUUAGGGAAGAACAAAUGCGUAAGUAACUAUGCACGUCUUGACGGUACCUAAUCAGAAAGCCACGGCUAACUACGUG
rnacentral:rRNA from 1 species